rnacentral:misc_RNA from 1 species
AAAAAGUUGAACACUCAGCACACGAUCACUGGUUAGGCCUGAAAGAGACGCCAUGGACCAAAGGGCAGAGCAUCCAAUGACAAUAACGCCUACACUUGCCUUCCUUUGGAUAUCCUUUGUCCCUCUCUCUCUUUUUCCUAUAUAUACACACACACACACAUAUCUGGACUUGUCCUGAGCCAGUAGUUGGUGGGUUUGUUCUUUCGAAAAAGAUCAGCACUCUAUUAUUUUAAUCCGGUCACAACACCAACAAGAAACCUGGAGUGGAGGAAAGGGAAAGUG